CACCUGUGCUGUCAACAUGAUUGUCCUCUUUGUCAGAUAUCCGUUGCCAGUUUGCCAAAUCUGCAGUUUUGCACUUUCUUCUAUUUGAUUCAUAUAUCCGUCGUUUUUCCUUUUUUGCAGCAUCUAAUUUAUAUGAUCUCUGAGUUCCAAGGGCAAUCCGCCACUGUCGGGCUAGUAAGGAUGGAUCCCUAUGUGGGACAAUGAAUCUCCAAACUGACAUCCAAUCAUGUUUAAAAACCCUGAGUCCCUCAUGAAUGCAUUCUAUCUCCUCUGCAGUCAAUGGAGAAGUUUUCAUCCUCCGAACUGCCUUUAUUGGAUUUUCUGGUGCUUUUGAUGAGCAACGAUUUUUCUGCCUAACAAAAAUCUGGUGCUUAGAUUUGCAAGGAAGAAAACGCUGUUGAAUUGCCUUCCAAUCUGUAUUAUGUUCCAUCAUAUUCCAUCAUUCCCAAAGCUAACAAUUCAUCCUCUGAAUCGGUAAAAAGGACUCGAUUUGCAACAGCUGCAGGAGGUGGCUUAUGCGGAAAUAGUGCUGGAUUGAACAGAGGAAAAAACCUCUGUGCUAACUUGCUAAUAUC
rnacentral:misc_RNA from 1 species